rnacentral:lncRNA from 1 species
CACAAAGAAUCAGUCACAACUGAAUGAUUAAACAGGUAGAACAGACAGAGAACUGAGUACAGUUCCCUAUGCUUUACAGUGAGUUCUUACCAGUUAUCUAUUUUAUUUUAUUCACUAUUGACCUGUAAUUGACCACAACACAAUCCCACAGAAAUAUUCAUCCCCUUCAGCUCUCCAAGUGUCUAUAACUGCCUUCGAAAUGGAGAAAUCAUAUAAGCAGCAGGGAAAGGAGGAAGGAGGCUGAAAGGGGAAACCGCAGCACCAGGGGAAGGGACAAAAUCUGUGUGCUGGAUGCUGCUGGACUCUGUGGAUGCGAUGAUCAGCAAGACUCCUGGGGCCUUGCC